UACGUAUGUCGCAAGCGUUAUCCGGAUUUAUUGGGCGUAAAGCGUGUCUAGGCGGUUUAGCAAGUCUGAUGUGAAAACGCGGGGCUCAACCCCGUAUUGCGUUGGAAACUGCUAAACUAGAGUACUGGAGAGGUAGGCGGAACUACAAGUGUAGAGGUGAAAUUCGUAGAUAUUUGUAAGAACACCGAUGGGGAAGGCAGCCUACUGGACAGAUACUGACGCUAAAGCGCGAAAGCGUGGGGAGCAAACAGG
rnacentral:rRNA from 1 species